CCUACGGGUGGCAGCAGUGAGGAAUAUUGGUCAAUGGGCGCGAGCCUGAACCAGCCAAGUCGCGUGAGGGAAGACGGCCCUAUGGGUUGUAAACCGCUUUUGCCCGGGGACAACAGACUCCACGCGUGGCGUUCCGAGAGUACCCGGCGAAUAAGCAUCGGCUAAUUCCGUGCCAGCAGCCGCGGUAAUACGGAGGAUGCGAGCGUUAUCCGGAUUUAUUGGGUUUAAAGGGUGCGUAGGCGGAAGAUCAAGUCAGCGGUAAAAUUGCGCGGCUCAACCUCUUCGAGCCGUUGAAACUGGUCUUCUUGAGUGAGUGAGAAGUAUGCGGAAUGCGUGGUGUAGCGGUGAAAUGCAUAGAUAUCACGCAGAACUCCGAUUGCGAAGGCAGCAUACCGGCGUUCAACUGACGCUGAUGCACGAAAGUGUGGGUAUCGAACAGGAUUAGAUACCCGAGUAGUC
rnacentral:rRNA from 1 species